GAGAAAGAUCGCAAAAUUAAUCUUAUUUUCUGCAUCGUUAGUUUGUUGAAAGCGAAACCUAAAAUCCAAAUCGCUGCUGUUUCGGAGAUGGAUGGUGGUGUAAUCAAGUAUCAUAAUGUGGAAUUACCAGACGAGGCUUCCAAAGUUGAUGUUAUCACGCAAACAAUACUUUCAUUUGGAGUGAAGGUGAACAAGACUCUUAUAUUUGUCAACACAAGAGAAACGGCUGAAAUGUUAAAAACGGCACUUCUACAAUUUAACUUUGAUCCAGUAGUUCUCCAUUCUUCUCUUAGUGAAGAGCAAAGGGGCGGCAUCAUCCAUCGAUUACAUAAAGAUCAUUAUUAUGAAAUAGUUACAACCGAUCUUAACAUCGAUUCACGCAUUGAUCUUUCAUUGGUCAAUGUGGUUAUUCAUUAUGAUCUGCCAAUAAUGCCUUCCACGGAAGAAGCUG